UCGGGGCAUAAUAGAACAUUUUAAUUAGGUAUUACUCUUUGUUCGAUUGAAUGAGAAAAAGUACUCGUUGUAAAUUUAUACUGUUAGGGCGCAAUUGAGUAGCUUAAUGUUGUUCCGGUUUUCGUUCUUGUUAACGUGGACAUCUAAUUUACCCUCUCGGGGCAUAAUAGAACAUUUUAAUUAGGUUUUACUCUUUGUUCGAUAGAAUGAGAAAAAGUACUCAUUUCAAAUUUAUACUGUUAGGGCGGAAUUGAGUAGCUUAAUGUUGUUCCGGUAUUCGUUCUUGUGAACUUGGACAUCUAAUUUACCCUCUCGGGGCAUAAUAGAAUAUUUUAAUUAGGUAUUACUCUUUGUUCGAUUGAAUGAGAAAAAGUACUCGUUGCAAAUUUAUACUGUUAGGGCACAAUUGAGUAGUAUAAUGUUGUUCGGGUUCUCGUUCUUGUGAAUGCGGACAUCUAAUUUACCCUCUCGGGGCAUUAUAGAACAUUUUAAUUUGGUAUUACUCUUUGUUCGAUUGAAUGAGAAAAAGUACUCUUUACAAAUUUAUACUGUUUUGCCGCAAUUGAGUUGUCCAGUUUUUUUCCGGUUUUCGUUGUUGUGAACGUGGACAUCUAAUUUAACCUCUCGGGGCAUAAUAGAAUAUUUUAAUUAGGUUUUACUCUUUGUUCGAUAGAAUGAGAAAAAGUAAUCCUUACAAAUUUAUACUAUUUGGCCGCAAUUGAGUAGCUUAAUGUUGUUCCGGUAUUCGUUCUUGUGAACGUGGACAUCUAAUUUACCCUCUCAGGGCAUAAUAGAACAUUUUAAUUAGGUUUUACACUUUGUUCGAUAGAAUGAGAAAAAGUACUCAUUGCAAAUUUAUACUGUUAGGGCAGAAUUGAGUAGAUUAAUGUUGUUCCGGUAUUUGUUCCUGUGAACUUGGACAUCUAAUUUACCCUCUCAGGGCAUAAUAAAAUAUUUUAAUUAGGUAUUACUCUUUGUUCGAUUGAAUGAGAAAAAGUACUCGUUGCAAAUAUAUACUAUUAGGGCGCAAUUGAGUAGUCUAAUGUUGUUUCGAUUUUCGUUCUUGUGAACGUGGACAUCUAAUUUACCUUCUCGGGGCAUAAUAGAUCAUUUUAAUUAGGUAUUACUGUUUGUUCGAUUGAAUGAGAAAAAGUACUAGUUGCAAAUUUAUACUGUUAGGGCGCAAUUGAGUAGUCUAAUGUUGUUCUGGUUCUCGUUCUUGUGAACGUGGACAUCUAAUUUACCCUCUCGGGGCAUAAUAGAACAUUUUAAUUAGGUAUUACUCUUUGUUCGAUUGAAUGAGAAAAAGUACUCGUUGCAAAUUUAUACUGUUAGGGCGGAAUUGAGUUGUCUAAAGUUGUUCCGGUUCUCGUUCUUGUGAACGUGGAGAUCUAAUUUAACCUCUCGGGGCAUAAUAGAACAUUUUAAUUAGGUAUUACUCUUUGUUCGAUUGAAUAAGAAAAAGUACUCUUUACAAAUUUAUACUGUUUGGCCGCAAUUGAGUUGUCAAAUGUUGUUCUGGUUUCGUUCUUGUGAACGUGGACAUCUAAUUUACCCUCUCGGGGUAUAAUAGAACAUUUUAAUUAGGUUUUACUUUUUGUUCCAUUGAGUGAGAAAAAGUACUCGUUGCAAAUUUAUACUGUUAGGCCGCAAUUGAGUAGCUUAAUGUUGUUCCAAUUUUAGUUCUUGUGAACGUGGACAUUUAAUUUACACCCUCGGGGUAUAAUAGAACAUUUUAAUUAUGUUUUGCUUUUUGUUCGAUUGAAUGAGAAAAAGUACUCGUUGCAAAUUUAUACUGUUAGGCCGCAAUUGAAUGGCUUAUUGUUUUUUCGGUUUUCGUUUUUGUGAAUGUGGAUUUCUAAUUUACCAUCUCGGGGCAUAAUAAACAUUUUAAUUAGAUAUUACUAUUUGUUCGAUUGAAUGAGAAAAAGUACUCGUUGCAAAUUUAUACUGUUAGGGUGCAAUUGAGUAGUCUAAUGUUGUUCCGGUUUUCGUUCUUGUGAACGUGGACAUCUAAUUUACCCUUUUGGGGCGUAAUAGAUCAUCUUAAUUAGAUAUUACUCUUUGUUCGAUUGAAUGAGGAAAAGUACUCAUUGCAAAUAUAUACUGUUAGGGCGCAAUUGAUUAGUCUAAUGUUGUUCCGGUUAUCGUUCUUGUGAACGUGGAUAUCUAAUUUACCUUCUCGGGGCAUAAUAGAUCAUCUUAAUUAGGUAUUACUCUUUGUUCGAUUGAAUGAGAAAAAGUACUCGUUACAAAUUUAUACUAUUUGGCCGCAAUUGAGUAGCUUAAUNNNNNNNNNNNNNNNNNNNNNNNNNNNNNNNNNNNNNNNNNNNNNNNNNNNNNNNNNNNNNNNNNNNNNNNNNNNNNNNNNNNNNNNNNNNNNNNNNNNNCAUUCACCGCUUUUAUAGGACCAUAUUUAUAAAUAAAAAUUUAACAGGUAAAUUUUUAGAAUAAAAUUUUAGGAGAAGACUAUUGCACUAAAAAACCCGAUAAGUUAACUCUGACACCGGAAUCUCCUCCAAAUUGUCGACCGACGCAGCUGAUAACCUUGUCCUUUGAUCGAGUAGCCUUAAAACGAACAACUAAUUCUAUAUUGUUCUAUACAACAUCAAAUUUGAAGCGCAAUGUAUUACAAAUCUUCAAUUGAAAUCAGAAAUUGGACCAAAACACCCCAGAUUAUGUAUGUUAAAUACCUGUGCAUUCGGAAGUUCUGCAGUAGGCAUAAUUUUUUGCGCACUUCAUUGCGAAUCUCCACUGGCUCUGAAAGAUGUGCUGGAUAACAAUACCGUGUAGCUUGCCACAUUCAAACCAAAUAUCCAGUGGGCCGAAUCCUCACGAGGACUAUCUUCAGAGACAUCAUCAACUCGGCAAAAUGGAAAUGCCUCGACAGUAAUCUUGUUUACACCUGUAAACAAUGCUCGAGCACCCAUGCGUAACGCUAGUUUGAUAAAAAUAAGGAUCAAAUCAUUUUAGAAAUACUCUACCAACUGUAAAUUUUUUUUCGAAAGAAAAUAUAACAAUUAAAUGCAUAAAAUAGACAAUCUGAAACCACUCCGUAGUGUUAUUAAGCACACAAUUAUUCGAGGUGUACGGUAGCACAUUAUUAUAGACAGCAAGACAGCAAGACACUAAUGCAAACUAUUUUACCGACAGACACUUCAACCAAUCGAAACGACAGGAAAACGCGAUAUGCAACGAGACCAAUCACAUAUCGAACAAGGUUAGCCUAAGGGUAUCACAUGAUUGGUCAUGACAUACUAAUGCUUGAUGAAAAUAUAUAGCUAGCAAAUGAAAUGCCUUUUCGCCGCCAUAAUAACCAUCAUCACGCUAAUCAUCCUCUUUCCACUCCUCCGAUACACUGAAUUUUUCCCGAGCAGCACCAAUUCCACCUUUAGAUAUACCGAUCACAGAUAGACGCAUCCUAAUGGAGAGAUGAAGUGAAGCAUAAGAUGGAAAGCAUCUCUACGGUUCAAGUUGGGCGCGACGCAAACCACCAUUUAAGCUUCAUUCAGGAUAAGCCUCUAGAGUAGAGCACUAAAGUGAACAUGUUGUAAGAGAUUCGCCGCCAUCAAAACCCCCCCAGUAGAUCCCUUCCGCCCUUCAAGUCGGGGAGUCCUUGUCACACCCUGUAAAGCAUAAGUUGUAAUGAGUACAAGAUUUCUAGAUAGAUAUCGAGGAUCUAUACUUCCAUUAAUGGACUAAAUCGCGGCCUUUAACAUAUUUUACCUUGAAAACAUGUCAUUAACCUAUUGCACUUCACAGCUUACCACGACAUUUAUGAUUUGGGAGAAAGUACACCAUACACCUCUAAAUCUAUCAAAAAGGGAAAGGAAAAACUUCAAAAACCCCCACUGUGGUUUCGUAGUUUCUCACUUUGCUCCCCUGUGGUUUAAAAUGUAUCAAUUUGCCCCCCUGUGGUUCCUUUUUUCUCUUUUUCUUAUCAAUUUCAUUAUUUUUUUUUCUUAAAUCAGUGAUAAGGUUAAAGUUAAAAGGUACUAAAGUGAAUAUUUGAUAAAUCUAGAUGGGUAUCUGAAGUUUUUUGUAUAUAAUUUAAUGAAAUAUUAACGAAAAGGCUACCGAAAAGAUAAAAACAAAACCACAGGGGGGCAAAUUGAUACACUUUAAACCACAGGGAGGCAAAGUGAGAAACUACGAAACCACAAGGGGGUUUUUUGAAGUUUUCCCAAAGGGAAAAAAGCAUUCUAGUUAUUUUCAUCAAGCAAAAUAAUUUGCAACCUAACACCAAACCCUACGAAGUUGAUUUCGCACAAAUCCGAUUGAAUUGAUAUACUUGGGAAGUAUUUCAUAAUUUGUUCUACUAAUACUAGACUUCCUUCAAGACAUACUAUAACAAAACAAUGUAGAUCAACAGCAGAAUGUGGAGAGAAAAGAAAGCACAUGCUAAAAAGGAUAAAUGUCUUUGUUGGAGUGUAUGAUGCAAUGGAAAGUAUCAGAAUGCAUUAGAAUGAAGUUUAACGUUGGAAUGUAUUAGAGAUGAUCUAUCCUGAAGGAGUGAUUGACCCUAGACCAUAAAAAUGAUUAUUUAAAUUAUGUAUCUUCUAUGCUUGUGGUCUUUUUUAAUCAUCUAAUUUCAACUGUCAAUUCCAGAUAUUACAUACACAGGUAUUGAAUUUGAUUAAACAUUUACUAGAAUUGGAAAGUUUAUUGCUGAAUUCAGAAUAUGGUAAGUAAAUAUGUAUAUUGAUUUUAAAAUAUGAGCAUGAGAUAUUGUUCACAUGCAGGCCAACAGCCAUAUCAUGAUAAGUGAUACUAGGAUAGUUAAUGAAUCAAGACUUACUGAAUAUGAUGGUAGCACUUGCAAUGCUCCGAUAGACCAUCCAUGCUCCAAAAGAAACUUGACAGUAUUUAAAGGGCUGCUAAGGUUGGGGACGAAAUUCCAUAGGCACCAUACUGCAGGCCAACUUACUGAAACAGAUUUCCAGCAACUAUGAUCCAAGGAAAGUAAAGUCAGUCAAACUCUAUAUUUAUACUUGCAAAUACAGAUAAAACUGAUUGUAGCUCAAAAAGAAAAGAGCAAAAACAGAUGCACAAAAUAAAGUGUCAGAGAUGCCCUAAUCUGAUUUGUUGUUACAUCUAAAAGAUGAGACCGUUACCUGUAAUCUUCUUGAUACAGUAUCUCACACAAAGUACCUCCCCGACCACAGAGAUUGCCCUGGCUGCUGCUCCGGCAGCAGAGCGUGUUGUGGAUUCAUUUGCUGAAGCUGAUGUUCUGCAUAUGGUUUCAUCUGCUCGAAAAGCUUGAAAUCUUGCCACUGUUUCUCAUCUACUGCCUCAGUCUGAACAGCAGAGACCUGCUUCCCAGGAAAAGGGAAGCUGAUAGAGCCGCUAUAGGCAUUACUACUAGUAGCAGUAACAGUUGGAUACAUAUAUGAAACAUGGUUGAUUGGGUUCUCUAUCCCCAUGCCUUUAGCUGAUGAUGGUUGAUACCCAUCCAGCCAUCUAUAGUCAUCGAUUUGAGGGUAUGGAUCCUUCGUAACUGAAUUUGAAAUGGGAUUCUCAUGUUGUUUCGACGGAACAGGGCUGAACCCCGGAGGUGGCCCAUUGUGCCUAACGGGACGGCUGACAGGAUUUUUCCUAGGUGGUGUUGGCAGUGCGGCUGCAAACUUAUCAGUGGUUAUACCUGACGGCACCACAGUAUCGAGCAUAGAUGAUAUAGCCAGUUCAGAAGCUUUAAUCUGAUUAGUUAACAUAGCGGAAGUAGGCCCACUAGCCAUAGCAGAAACUUGAGGUGCAAACCCAAGAGGCUGGUGAAGCCCACUCAAGCCUCUCUGUAACUUUUGUUCGGCCAAGUGUCCAUCACCAAUGAUGUUCAAGUUCUUCAGUUCAUCAGAUAAGGAAACCCGUUGCUCGAUUAACCAUUUAGGAUGAUCCGGACUGACGUAACGUGGAGGAAGUUGGGAGAUAUUUGCUUCGGUGGUGUUCAUAUAAGAACUGAUAUUUGAAAUAGCUGGCAUCUGAACAUUGUUCAGAGGAGCAGAAAAUGGAGUACUGUACAUUGGCCAACCAGCAUUAGACAUUUGGACAGGCUGUACAAAUUCAUUAGGAGGUAAUAUGGAAGUAGCUACACUAUCGAGCUUUUCAGCAACUGUAGGUUUGAAAACAAUAACUUCCUCAUCUUCCUCUCCUUCAAAAAGCAACUGACUCUUUGACUGUUUUGCCCCAAGGUCGAUGGUGCCCUCAAGUUCACUCCCUUGUUUAGUAACAACUGACUCUGAAACUUCUUCAUAAAUUGGAGGUUCCACACCCAUUAUGAACUUCUUCGAGUGGGGAUCAAAGUAUAUCCUCUUUUGAUCAACUUGAACUACAUUCAUAAGAGCCCUACCAGCCGCCAGAAUCCUCUGAACACGGGCUCCUUUUUCCCUUGUGCUUGCAUCACUCCCAAAUGCAUGCUUCCUUGAAAAGUCCAAAAUAAGUUGAGCCGGCCUUAAGGGCAAGAAUCCUCUCAAUUCAAAGUCCUCCCACAAUGCAAGCCUAUUAUCAGUUUCACCCUCAUCAUACCUACUCAUGUCAGAGAAGCAAGUCUCAUCCUCAUCAAUAUCAAUAGAAGCGAGGCCGGUGAGAAUAAGCUUGUUCAUAAAGGAUAAGCAUUGAUUCCAAAAAAAUGAUCUUGCAUUAGAUUGUUUUUCCUCGGUGUUAUCAGAGCUGGCUGCGAUAUCCGGAUGACAUGCAAGCCAUUCAAUGAAGACCAGAAGGGCCGGCAAGUAGAAGCUCGAUGCAGCAUCAUGCAGCUGCAUACAUCUUUUAAGAAUGUGUCCAACAAACUCAAAGGCAGCUGUAAAUGCAUUCUGAAGAAGCACUGUGCGCUGCAAAAUCUCAGCAUAUGACUGGCUUUCCGACUCCCUCUUCACAUUAUGGACUGUGAAGAUGAGGAUGGCGAUAAGCCUCACGAUAAGAAGGGCAUUUUCAGCAGCAUCUGAACCAAAAUUAAGAUCCUCUUCAGGACCAGAAGAAAGGAGCUCUUGCAGGUCAAUGACUACUGAGGCGAAUAUCUCUCCAAAUGUCUCCAAGCUGUUAAUUCACAUUUAAAAAAAUGCUCUAAUAUGAAUAUAUGAAAAUAAAAAAAAAUAUUCACAAAUAUAUACCCCUGCAAAAUUACUUACUAAUAUACAUACAUGCCAUUGACAUACAUGCCCAUAUUCUUUAAAAAUGCUCAUCCUCUAAAGAACUUCAUCAAUCAAUUUCAUCAUAAAAUGAAUGUUAGGCUAGGGGUAUUUUUCCUCCAAAGAAAAAGUUCUCUUUGUUAGAGGAGUAUCUAAGCAAAUUCAGAUUUUGUAGGGCUACGUAUGUUGACAUAUGACCUUGCAGGCAGGCUUAUGUUAAUAAAGGAAAGGCAGAUAAUUAACUGAUACCUUGUCCUCGUGAAGAGGAUGCCAUUAAGUCGAACAAAACGAGUUGAAAAGGCUUUGAAUACUUCAGGAAUACUAUUCUCGCGCUCUUUAACAGGAGUUGUUUCUGUUUUGGUAUCUUUUGCCACAAGCCUUGUAUUUCCUCUUCCUCUGCCUCUCCCGGCUGGUCGUGCAGGCAAUGUCCUUGCUGAAGGAACUUUGAGGUUACCGGGCAACUGAGAAUAAUUCUGACGGUUCUGCAUUAUUACAUCCAACAAUAGAAUGAUUAACAAGGAACUUUAUCAUAGCCAAGAGUAAACUUAAUAGCAAUUAACCAGAUAGUUUCAAGCAUAAGCAAAUAAUAGAACGGAAGAACAAGAACAAUAGAAGAAAAAAAAACAAGAGGUGACAACUGAAUCACCACCAUAUUUCUUGUUAAGCAAAUUUUACACCUGCUUACUAGUGCUAAUGCUAACAUCUUCACACAACAACUGCUUAUAUGCUGUGAGAAUCAUGACACAUCUCACAUCAAUAACCACCUAUGAGUUAGGUAGAUGUGCACACUAUAUUAUGUGAAGAUUCUAGCCGCUGGCGUAAAAAGAUAAAAGGCUUGUAUUCAAGCAAUUAUCCAACUAAAAUAGUAUUACAACUUAGGGGCACUGUUUCCCAGUAAUUUCAAAUUAACCUUAGAGUAAGCUUGAUUAUAAUAACUACACCAAUGUUUCAAUAUUCAUGAUAACUUCUACCUGACAACUGAAAAAUUUUCCAGAUGGUAGACAAGCUUCGGAAUAACUGAAUGGGCACAUGGAAUCAUGCAUGGCAACCAUCUCACAUAUGUACACAAUACUAACAAACUACUUUUACCUAGAAAAAUAUAUACAUAUAUGAAUUGAACUCCUAUGCUUUUAAAAGUACCAAGUCAUUGGUGCUUGUAGGUUUUUGACCCUUGGAUUAAAGGAUGUGCAAUUAGGAUAAUAGUGGUCCCUUAGGGUUGAGUGGGUGGUUGGUUGAAUAGUAUGAUUUAACAAGUGGAAAUGGUAGAAGAGGUAGAUCUAAUGGCGGAAAACUUACAAGCACCAAGUGCUUGAUGCUUUUAAAAGAACCAUAGCGGGACUCAUACAUAUAUACACAUACAUACAUACAUAUAUACAUAUAUAAAUAUAUAUAGAACGAGGCUACUAUACUAUCUAUAGUACCGGAGUUCCGGUACUAUAGUCUUGUUUUCGAUCUUAAGUGUUUAAAUCAACAAUCCACACUAUUAAAUAUGAUCUAGGGUAUAUGAAGUUCUUAGGAAUAAAAUUUCCACCUUUCAUUUUGACAUGAAUGGUAGAAAUUGAACAAUCUUUAAACUUCGAGGAUAGAAUUUUUGAAUUCAAGAUCAAGGAUGCUGACAUUAAUCUAGAUAGUUUAAAAAAUUUUGUAUCAAAAUUUGAAUAAAUUUAGACUCUUUUACAUCGUUAAACUACGAACUUGCCAUAGUAGCCAUUGAAAAUUAACAAUUUUGAAAUGGUUUGAUCAUAAAGUAAACUGUCGAAAAAAUAUAAAAUAUUAUUCCUAAAAACUUCAAAUACCCCAGAUCAGUUCUAACGGUGUGGAUUGUUGAUUUGAACAUUCUAAGUCUGAAAACAAGACUAAAGCACCGGAACUUCGGUACUAUAGAUAUUAUAGGAGUCUAGCUAUAGACUAUAGCACCGGAACCCCGGUACUAUAGAUAUUAUAGGGGUCUAGCUAUAGACACACACACACACACAUCCAAAUACCAGACAAACGGUAAUUUUCAAGUACUUUAAAACUGGCAAAAUAGGUAAAAACCAUGUAAAGUAGAUAAAAGACAAUAACUUUAAAUUUCACCUCAAAGAUUCUAAAUAAAGCAUUACAUAGUCAACAAAGUACAAAUAAAAAUGCAUAGAAGCAACAAGCACCACAUUUGCCAGGUUCUGUACCAAAUAAGGAAGUACCUUCUCAAAUGCAAUGAUCAAGUUGUCCCUAGCUGUUGAAAAAGGACUAUCCACCGCCAAGCUCCGAAAGUAUCGAUAGAUAGCCGCUAGCUCAUCUCCAGAAUAAGAUGCUAAAAUUGCAAGCUGCCAAACAGGACAAAAUCCAUGCACUAUUAGGGAACUCAGAAAGUAGACUUGUACAACAAUACUCCUAUAUCCAAUCUAACUAAAUCUAUAAAGAAAAAUGUUCAUCAAAACAGUCUGGAGACUACCUGAUGAUGAGGAUUGCCGUUGGAUGGACAGAGAGAAACAGCCUGCAUAUAAUAACUAGACGCGGCAGCAUAGUCACGGCUGAUGGAAUCGCCUUCUCCAUACAAACCCUUGUAACGAGCAAGGUCUCCCAAAUAUAUCAGACAUCUGUGGCAAGACGUCAACCCUUUCUUUGUCUCGGCCACUUUCUUUUCAUCUUUUAUUGGAAGAAUUUGAUUCUCAGGGCCCUCCGGAAAGUAGCCCAGUGGCAGACCAUACUUGGCUCUAAUUUUCAGUAUCAGGUCAUGAUAAAAUCCUGUUGCUUCCGAAAGAAAACUUUUAAAAGAAGAUCGAAUCCUCUUAAUUCGAUCUACACGGGCAUUGCUUUUGACGCCUUGUGAUGUAGCAGAACCGGAGGAAACUGCAGCAUUGAUGUGUGAGCGGAACUCCUCAAUUCUUCUAUAGUGCAAUUGCCAAAGAACAUACUCUAUCUCGUGCUUCUCAGAGAAGUCAUGGUCUUCAAGAAUGAUGGUCUCAUAGUUCUCACGCAUUUGAAGCCAUAUAUUAGGAUCCGAAGGAACUUUUGACUGGGCUGAUCUACGCAGACCAUUCUCCAAUUCGAUAUUCUGCAGAAUAACACAAUACAUAGUAACUAAGAAAAAUAGCUAGUUCCAUUAAGUUUCAUGUGAAAACAAACAUCAAGUUGACGUCAUCGACCAAUGUGUAGAAUUAUUAGAACUACUCACAGGAGUACUCCCCAAAGACAUCAGAAUUUAUAUAAAAAUACAUUAUUGAUCUUUCAAACACAGAAAGAAAAAACAACUAUGUCAAACAUGGAUAAAUGAUGCAACAUGUAUGUGAAGAAGUCAGAAAGGGAUGACACGAUGAGCAAAGAAAACAAGAGUACAAUACUAGAAUGAUACUAAUUCAAACGCGUGACAACAUGAACAAUAUUUUCUUCCAGUAUGAUGCCUCGAUACCAAUUUACUCAAGACACUCAACAUAGACCGAAACGUAAACAACUGCUUACCAGAAAUGACCAAUAAAGUGGUUGAUUGCGAAAAAUAUCAGUCAUACAAGUCAACUUUAAUAAAGAAAAAAAGAAUGGAAAAGGAGACGAGUGUUUUCUACAAGUAUACUACAAAAGAUGGAUGAUAAUAAUAAACCAAAACAGCCAUAAAAGGAAAAAAAAAACAAAGCUUUUCAAAACUAUCACCAGAAAGGUUUUGAAGUUCCUCCAAUAGAGAGAAUUCAGUAAAAUAAAAGCCUAAGGAUAAUAAUUUAUUUAUUUAAUUUAAAUCUACCACUUGCUUUACUAAUCAAUUCUCUUGAGUCCACAUGUUUACUACGUUUAAAGAAAGAAGCUGAUUCUUAUACAUGAAAUAACAAAAAUUUAAUAAUCUAUUAAUCUGUUAGACUGAAUCAUUGCUAUAAAUCACCAUUCUUUCCUUGACAAGUCAACACUCAGAAUGCCAAUUGUAUAGCAGGGCCUCAAAUAGUGACUUGCCCAGGAAGAAGUUGGUAGCCCAUAAGCUAGCAUGCCCAAGAAAAGCUUCCACCAGUUGAUGAACCAAAUUAAUUAGUAGGGACAAUCCAACAAAUCAAAAUAGAUGCCACUAUACAAGCAUCAACUGUAUCCACAUUAAUAGUAGCUAACACUUUUGAGAAAGAUGAACAAGAAGAAAGCAUCAGCACUAAGCACUAAAUGAAUAAAAUAUGAACUGCCAUAUCUGAUAGUUAGAAAUUACACACACCAUUAAAAAAAAAAACAAGUGAUUGAUCCUAUUCACAUCAAGCGGUUUCAGGAAAGAGACUUAAAGCAAAAGAUCUUAGAGGUCCAACUACUAUCCAUCACACGUACAAAAUCAGAAAAUUCUGAUCAAAUUCCGGUAAGGGCACGAGCAAUAGAAGAGCAAUUCCUCCCAGACAAAUUCACUUUAUACUUUGAUUUAUGGAUAGCCAGGAAAAAUCAUGAAAUAGACAUAGGAAAUAUGGAAACAGACAGCUGCAAUCAAGAUCUCAGACUAGAAAGCUACAAUCACUUACACUUUUCAAUAAAAUCAUAUCCAAGUACAUAAGCUAAGGACAAAAAAAAAGCGCAAUGAAAUAAAGACGAUAGGAUUAUACCUUCUUGUAAAGGUUCUCUGCAAGCUCCCGCGAAGAGGGAGCAGGUGAACUAUCCAUAGGAACAGUCAUCAUCCAUCAAAUGCUCCUUCUAGGCCUGCAGCAAAAUAAGCCAAAAUCAUACUACAGAAUCAUAAAAAAUAUAUAUCUGGGGUAAAAACAUAUCGAUCAACAGGAUAGAUACACAUUACGAAACCAAAAUUUAGGAGGUCCUCUCAAGCUUCCUUUUCUGAUAAAAAAAGGAAAUAAGCUCAAAAGUCCACGCUUUAGCAUCAUAACAUUCCAGAUCCAUCAAAAAUCAAGCCCUCUCUUUUAUUCAUUUUCCAGAGAACCAGAAACCCUAAUUCCCAACAAAUUUUCCCCCAAACAUGAGACUUAAUCCUAAUAGCACCAACAAGAGUAAAAAAGAGACAAAAUAUCCGAGCAAACUAAACCCUAAGCCAAAAUUCCAAACAGAGGGCUAAAUACCACGCCCAAAUCCCAUCAUCUCGCCGAGAUUCCCCAGAUCCCAGCCAAAUCGAUCCCCGAAUCCCCCAAAAAAGGCGAAAAUUAGGUCAAAUACGCCGAUUUCCCCACGAAAAACCCCCUCGAUCGAUCGAAAACUGAGACGAUUCCAAGGAUUCGGAGCCCUUACCUGAUCCCGAAGACCCAAAAGGACGAGAGAGAGAGAGAGAGAGAGAGAGAGAGAGAGAUUGGGGGGUCUCGCUUGUCGUCAAAGAAGGGCGGUGCGACAAAGGACUCCCACCAAAUUUAUAAUUUUCCGGAGAUUAUUUGAAUUAAAUAAAUACUUUUAAUUGGGUUUUUAUUUUUCGGGAAUUAAAAAUUGAGGGCCACGUCAGAUAAUUAAGCAGGGGUUAAGUCCUAUGGAUUGGUGCCACGUCAUGCCUAACGACCAAUUUAACGGAUGGAUUUGAAGCGUUAUAUUUGAAGUACUUAUUAGCCUAAUGCAAUUACAUUUGGUGGUUAAAAAUUAAUAAAAAAUUAAAAUUGGAUGAAAAAGGUCCAUGGAAUUAUUAAUAUUUUAUUUUAUUUCUUUGCUUUAAGUAGAAAACUCUAAUUUGGUUAGGAACUUGUUAGGAUAUAACUUCUAUAUAUAAUAUAAUAAUAUAAUAUAAUAUAAUAUUACAAGAACCAAAGAAGAAAUUUUUUUUAAUAUAUUCCUUAAAUUUAAAAUAUAUUUUUAAAAGUGUUGAAUUUGAAUUUAAAUGUACAUGUAUAACAUAUUUAGAUUUAAAUAUACUUGCUAUUUGAGUUUGAAUAUAAACUUUUAUUCGAAUAAAUUUUAAAUCAAGAAUAUACACUUAAAUGCAAAUUUUCAAAUUUAAAUUUAAAAGUUCAAAUUCAAAUUCUCACUAGAACUCACAAUUUGAUUUCACAAUUCAAAUCAAAGAUGUGAAAUUGGUUUAUAUAAUUCAACUGCAACCAAAUUUAAAUUCAAAAUACAAAUUAAAUUUGAACAAAAUAUUCACACUUAAUUGAAAGAUUUAAGUAUAUCCAAUUGAACAAAUUUUCUCAUAAUUUUAUGAUAAGUUUUUAUUCAAAUACUUAAAGAUAUAAUUUUAUUUGCUAAUUGGGCCUUAGUGCUUUCAAAAAACAUGUAAGUUUUUGUGCUUUUAUUUUGUUUAUGAUAAUGAAGCAUGUGAAUGGAAUAUUAGAUUAAUUUGAGCCAGAAUUUUCCAAUGUCACUAAAAUAUAAAUUUAUAGCUUCUGAUUAUUAUUUACCUUUUGAUUGAUUGAUCCAGUAAUUAAUGGCAUCGGUGUCGCUAUUUGUGGACGAAGUGUCUAACAGUGGUCGCCGCGUUGGAGAUGUCACCUCUCCCGUAAAAAACAGUAUUUUUAUCUGGAUGCCUGCAGGUACUGAUAUCGAUUCUUCCAACCCGAUCCUAAUUUGUUGCCUCCCUUCGAUUUUUGUUCAAUUCUAUCUCUAAUCAAAAUUUAUAUUGUGCUUGUAACAGAACAACAAGUUAAAAUCAUGAUUGGAGAAAAUAUAAAAGAUGCACUCUAAGAGAGAUGGAGAUGGAGAUGGAGGUAAGUGGAUCCUGCAACAGCUAAGGGAGAUGGAGAUGGAAGUGGAGAGGGUGUGGUAAAGGAAUAUAGAGAGCUAAUGGAGAAAGUGUGGGCGACAGCAGUUGAGAAAAACAUUUGGCUCGACAAGGUGAAAAACACCGAGGCUACCAUCUUCGGCGUUCCACUUAUCCUUGAGGCCAUCUUUGCUUUCAGAAAAAUCUUGCCCAAUACCCAAUGGGUUUUGGCGACAACACUUAUUAUCUAUUAUAUCCGUAUGCUCAAUAACAGCAACAACGACAAGGGGGCAUACAUGUAUAGAUUUUGUUGGAAAAAAAUAAUAAAUAUGUGCUCUUCUUGCUAUGUAGGCACCUAUGCCCGUACAUGGAUUAAGAGUUGCAAAUAAAUGUGCUCAAUUACUUUGAUACGAAGAAUGCCUCACUUCCAAUUCUCAUAUCGUAAUUAUUCCAAUUUGAUUAUUACAGCAGUCCUUUAGAAAUCCGAUAUAAGACGUUUCAAUUCGAGCUAUAAUCUCGAAUUAACUGCAUACUAAAUGGUUAAAAUUUAACUCAAAUUUCAACUUCGUCCUCAUAUUAAUUUUUAUUUGGAACAACUACAAAUUUCUUUUCUGACCCAUCAUCCUCCAAUUGUCUAACUCUCCCAACCCUCUGCCAUAUUCUUACUCUUUCCGCACAAGCCACUCUCCUCUCUCGCUCAUUAGCAGUGAGUGGUGACCCUUUAUGAUGCACACCUUAGUAUUGGGGAAGAAUAUGAGGUGCAUGGUUUGGCCUAUAUUGUGAACAAAAAGUACUUUAAUGCCUUCUAUUGGUCUAGAGAAAUUGAUUGUGUCUUAAUGAAAGCACUUUGAUUAAGGUUAUGGAUAACCAGCACUGACUGCUUAACAGCAGGUAGCAAGGUGUAGGUGUAGAAGAUUUUAGCCAUCCAAUUUAAGCACAUAUGAGUCAUGAUCUACUGGUGCAUAGAAGCAUUGCUCAAUUUUCUAUAUUUUUUUAAUGAAUAGUUUUCAGAAAUAUUUGGACAACAAUUGGUUUUAUUUUUUAAAAAUUAUUUUAUAUAUGAUAUUUGAUUCUUAAAUCUUCAAAUGGAUGAUCGAGAGAAUAGCCAUUGGAAAAAUAAUUUUUGUUGAUUAUUUUGAUUUGGAGAAUUAGUAUUGGGUUAAAAGUUAUAGAAUGUUUAUUUAUGUCUCCCAAAAAGAAUAAAUUUUUUGAAGUGAUUUUAUAAAGCUGUUUGAUAAAUCUACUUUGCUGAAGUGAUUUUUUUUUGCUAUGUAAUGCUACCAUUAUUUAUUAUUUAAUUAUUCAUGAAUUUGGAGAUAUUUAGUUAAUUUUACUACUAUUUUUAGAAGAGAGUAUAUAAUAGUAUUUGUCAAUAAAUUUUAAGCUACCAACAACUAUUUGUAAUAAAAGUAUAUAGUGCUAAAUAUUUACAACUAUAGAGACAUACAUACCCAAAAAAAAUAAAUUUAUUAUAGCGGACUCAACUUCUUAUCCGUCACUUCAUCUCAAUCAGGUGAAAAAAUAGUAAUAAAUAUAUAUAUAUUUUUAAAAGAAAUCCUUCUUUAUCUCCUUGUCCUAUCUUGGCACUAUAGCAAAUAGAGUCUGCACACAAAAAAAAGAAAAAAGAAAAAAGAGAGAGAGAGAGAAAUCUCCUUCUCCUUAUUUACAUUACAGAGAGAAAGGUCUUCCCUAAUAGCCAAAUAUAAUCAGAUCCAUUCAAAUAUAGAGGAUGAUUUUAUUUCAAUGUAAGCGAAGAGGAGUAAAGUAAUAUUUGGUAGUAAUUGUUUUGUUUAUCGUAACUUCAUCUUUGUUUAAAAUUUAAAUUCUGUAAAAAAAAACUGUGAUUGACUUCGGCUACCCCUAACUGAAGUUAAUUACAAAAAAAGUAAGAAAAAAUUAAUAAAAUUUAAUCUAUCUCUUACAUCUUCAGCUUCUCGCCAUUCACUUCAUGCCAAACAAACAUCAAUACUACGGAAACUUUAGUUUCACAGCUAUACAAAUAAACAUAAAAAAGAAAGUAAUUUUUAUUUGAACUUUAGAUUAUUCAAAAGUCUAUUUCAAUAUGAACUUCACCUUUGGUGAAAUAAAGACCCAGAGAAAGAGAAAGAGAAAGAGAGAAAGAAAGAGAGAGAGAGAGAGAGAAAGAGGAGGGGGAGGGAGGAAGGAAAGAGAGACUUCGCAGGUUAAGGUGCUUCCUAAAAAUAGAGAAGAUGGUCAUUGUAGAUUUUGUUUUUUUUAGUUGGGAAGAGAGAGAGGUAGAUGAGUGAUCGGUUAAGGUUGGGGAAGGAGAGAGAAGUGGAAGGCGAGUGAGUAAGCAGAACAUCAUAAAUAAAUAGGAUGAGAUAAGGAGAAAAUAUAUAAGUUAUUCAACGAGAAAUUAAGCAUUUUAGUUAAAUUACUAAAGAGAUGUAAUUGAUUGUGGAAGAGUAAGAUUUUAGGAAGCAACUUUUAGGUACUUCUAAUUUUGGGACUCCUAUAGUUAUAAUUCUGAUGCUAAAAAUUAGAAUUAUAUUUUACAAAAAAAUAACCAACCACUUCAUCAAAAAAAGGAGUUAAUUGCAUACAGUUUCUUAUAAAGACAUCAAAUUAUGAAUAUAUUCCUCCCCAAAUUUCAAGUGAAAAAUAUAUCACUCAAAUAUGCUUAUAGAUUUAAAUUUUUCAGUCUAGUUUAGAUAUCCUUUUUUCUUAUUAUUUUUAACUAUUAAUACAUGAACUGACAAUAUUACCUUUACAAAUACGAUCCUCCACAUACUGAAUUAAUCUUUUCUUUCCCUUUAUUCUCUCCACCUUCUCUAUUUCUCCUCUCUUUCUCUUUCUCAAUCUCCGUUGAUCGCUCCUUUCUCGGCUUUGGCUUCGACGGAGGUGGAAGAGGCGACGGGAAGCAUGCUCACCCUUGCUGAGCCUCCACUAUUCAAAACCUCUGCUACUUUUUCAUGAAAUCGUAAUUCUCUCGAGCUCUGUUUUUCUAUUUCUUUCUCUUUUUUUUUUCUUUUUUUAUAAAUGUAAGGAGCAAAAUGGUCAUUUUGCACAUUAGCGAACUAUGAUUAAAUUAUUUAGUUCAACUUUACUCAAUGUUAAAUAAAUUUUACUAGUAGAUUAUAACAGUAUAAACAGAUUUCAACUUAUAAUAUAUUUGAGAAAAAUAUAUUAGCUGAUUUAACUUUUAGAAAAGUAUAUUCAUAGUAAUUUAAUAUGCUUGCAUAGAGCUAGAAAUAAAAAAAAGACCCUAAAAUUAUUUUUUAAAAAUCUAGGCCAAACAAUCUCUUAUAAUCCGGAAAAACUUCGUGUUCAGGUUUUGAUGCAAUUGACCCAACCGCGACGGCAUAAGCGCGUCGAUUGUUCGCUACGCGUCUACGACGACUCUCCCCCCAUUUUUUUUUUUUUUUCUUUUUCCUUUUUUUCUUUCCCCUUAUUUCGCCUGGUGCCCUUUUCCCAUCUCUUCGCUCUCUCCUCGAUCCAUCCCCUCUCCUUCCCGGAAACCCUAACCCUAAUUUCGUUCCCGAUCCCUCAUAAACACUACGCCCUCUUCCGCCCCUUUCCCCGAAACCCUAACCCUAGCCCCCUUCGGUCGUCGUCGUCGUCUGUCGUCUAAGCCAUGGGGAACACGGAGAAGCUGAUGAACCAGAUCAUGGAGCUCAAGUUCACCUCGAAGAGCCUCCAGCGCCAGGCGCGCAAGUGCGAGAAGGAGGAGAAGGCGGAGAAGCUCAAGGUGAAGAAGGCGAUGGAGAAGGCGAACAUGGACGGCGCCCGCAUCUACGCCGAGAACGCCAUCCGCAAGCGCACCGAGCAGAUGAACUACCUCCGCCUCGCCUCGCGCCUCGACGCCGUCGUCGCCCGCCUCGACACCCAGGCCAAGAUGCAGGCCAUCGGCAAGUCCAUGGGCUCCAUCGUCAAGUCCCUCGACUCCGCCCUCGCCUCCGGAAACCUCCAGAAGAUGUCCGAGACCAUGGACCAGUUCGAGCGCCAGUUCGUCAACAUGGAGGUGCAGGCCGAGUUCAUGGAGGGCGCCAUGGCCGGCUCCACCAGCCUCUCCACCCCCGAGGGCGAGGUCAACAGCCUCAUGCAGCAGGUCGCCGACGAUUACGGCCUCGAGGUCUCCGUCGGCCUGCCGCAGCCCGCUGCCCACGCCCUUCCCGCCAAGGAGAAGGAGAAGGUCGACGAGGACGACCUCUCCCGCCGCCUCGCUGAGCUCAAGGCUCGCGGCUAGGGUAUAAUCUUCUUUCCUUCCCUUCUAUCCAUCUAUUGUUUCGCCAUUCUUCAUGUGCUAUUAAUUCCUCUCCCCUGGGCGAUGAUUGAGAUGGUAACCCGUCACUAGGAUGCGCAUAAUUCUCUUCUACUAUUGCAACAUUGAGGGAUGCAUAGGAUCAGCAGUAGAUUUACCCUCAAACAGAUAAAUAUAACUUACAUCACUUUUAUAGAAGUCUUUUAUAUGGAGCUAUUUUUGCUUAACCUUAGUUGUUAAAAAAUGGGUGUGACAGCCGCAGCACUUUCACAAAAUGAUGAUGCUCAAAGUUCUAAAAGCACUGGAUAGUUAUUAUUGUCAUGUGCAUUGUUCAAGUUUCAAUUUUUUCUUUGCACUUUGGUUCACUCACUCUAUUCUAGGCAAAGUAGAAGGAGAAGGUUUGUGAUGCCCAGUUUCCUAGGGGGUCACCCAUCCUAGAACUACUUUAGUCCUAGCAUGCUUAACCCUUUUAAUCUCUUGGGUUUAGCCACCGCUUAAAAUGUUAUAGCCAGGUUAAGAGAUUUAGCCCUAUUAUAUCUCAUAUAUAGGACUAUUCCAAAUCCUAGGGGUGUUAUAUUCUUUUUUCCUUUUAGCCUUGAUAUCCUCGUCUGACUCAAGCACACUUACAAGCACUAGGCGAUGUGAGACUUGUUUUGCUAGCCUUAGCUAAUUUUGUGGGGAGCCGCGCUUCACUCACAAGAGUUGUUAGCUGGGAAGCCGCGCUCUGUCCGCUGUAUGACCCUAGCUCAGUCGAUACUCAUCUCACACUUUCGGCUGGUGAUUGGCUCCAACACCAACUGUGACACCCCGCAUCCCUGGGGUCACCUAUCCUAGAACUACUCUAGCUCUAGCAUGUUUAACCUUCUUAACCUUUUAGACCUAGCCACUGUAUAAAAUACUAUAACCGGGUUAAGAGGUUUAGCCUUAUUAUAUCUUAUAUAUAGGACUUCCAAAUCCUAGGGGUGUUACAAAGUUAGCAAGGUUGUCUUUUCAUUUUAUCCUUUCUGUGCUCGUUUUGGGUAUAAGUUUCAUCUUUCCUUUUCUCUUCAAUUGUCAAUUAGAAUUCAAACAACCUGGAAAAGUUUUUAGCGAACAUUUUGCUUGAGCUAUCCUUUUCGUUGGAUCAGGUCCUUGCAACAUUCCGUAAUUUUCAUACUGAUCUUAACAUUACCCAGCACUUGUUCUAUGUUGGUCUUGUUCCAAUUUUCUUCUGUGCUUAAAUCACUUCUUUUAUAGGUAUGUUUUUAAGUUAAACUAUUGUAGUCCGGCUUAUUGGCAUUCUUAGUUUCUCCAUCGUUUGAUGCAUUGAUUUUUUUUUUUGGUAAUUUAUCUGAUCGAUUUGUCGCCUUAGAAAGUUUUCCUCUGAUAUUCACUUGUAUCUUAUAGCAAUAUUCAAAAGUAACAUACAGCCUUAAUUAUUUGCGUAGAAUGACCUAAAUAUGUGCCAAGAAUGAUAAAGAUGGCAUUUAGGUGUAGGUUUUAGGAUAUUGACGUCAAGUAAAAGAACUAUGAAAGUAAACAGUAUACGAAAAACAUGCUUCUGUCUGUUGGCAAGUAAUCUAGCCCGUACAUAAGGCAGAUAAAGGAAAAUCAGAAAUGUUGCAUUAUAAUUUGUAGAAAAUGAGGUUUUGUUUUCUUCCCAUCCUCCACAUAACGAUUCCAAUUUGUCACUGAUUUCUAAUCCAUGUGGCCCUCCAAAUGGUGUUCCUUAACCUCAUGCUAAACAAAAACCAUUUGUUUAUCAUUUGAGAAUUAAAAAAGGUUGUUUUCGUUAUGAACAGGUGCUAGACAAUAAAAAUGAAAGAUGUUGUUAAGAGUAGAAUGCUUGAAGGUUCUGGGUGAAGUAGGUUGAUAUUUGGUCUAGAUGUCACGCUUGUUAGAGAUGUUUACAGUAGUAUGGUGAAUCAGGUUGAUAGAGGCUUUAGUCAGCAGGAAGUAAUCAGCUUUCUUGCAUUCACUGGACUCACUUUGGACCUCACAGUGGAAAGAUCUAUAUCACUGACACAAUUUGGUUGAAAGGGAAGCUCUACGGUUUAUUUCUUUGUUUGCUGAACUUAUCUGCUUAUGCAAACAGUUCCCUCAACUUCCAAUUUUUGAAAUUUGACACUAUGCGGCCAUGCACUGCUACCGAGCUAACAGUAGUGUUCUUGGGGUUCAUGAUAGGGGCUGAAUCACUCGAUAGUAGGAAGAGUAAACUUUUUCCUGAGUUGGAUAGGGAUUCUAUAAAUGGCUUCAAAUAACAUUUUAGUUUAAAAUAAAACACAAUUUGGAUCUUUGAGGAACGAGCACACGUGAGUAGCAUGCUACUGCAUAGCCGUUAGUUUAAUGAUGGUGCUUGGUGAUUGGAUGGAAGCACCUAUUGCAGUGUUUUUUUACAUCUUAUCUAAUUUCAAAAUUAAAAGUCGUUGGGCCUGUUUGCAAAAGCCCUAAAUUUUAAGGGGUGUCUAUUCUUGUUCCAAUUACUACUAUAAUCCAGAGUAGUUAUAACUAAUUGACAAUUCCUUCAUCCCUUUCUAACUGAGUUUUGUCAAUUAUACUAUUUACAUUUCAAUAUCUAGUGAAGGCCCUCGUGGUAGAAGCUGUCAUAAUCUUUGUUUGGAUAUUAAUUGCCCUUCUUACAGAACAUUCUCAAUCAAGUAUCAGCUUGUGUAUUUGAAACUGUUCUGGUUAGCAAUCUACCAUAUCUGCUAGAAUUCGGUUUGACAAUCACCUUCUAUAUAAAUUUGCCAUGAUCCUGGAUAGAGGAUUGACUAAGAGUCUUGUAAAACAUCUUCAAUCACCAGCAUAUUUUUAGUUCUCCAGAAUUUCAUUAUAGCCAUUUGAUGGUCUUUGGACUAUUCCUUAGGCUGUUGAUUGAAGCAUAGCUUUUCUUGGUACAACUUACUGCAAGAUGCUGAUAAGAAAAGCUUCAUAUACUCUCAAUCAAUAAGUUGAUGCUAUCCGAGUACCUUGUAACACUAACAUAUUAAUUUUUGAAUUUAUAUGGUUUCUGAAAUUCAGUUAAUAGGAAUAGGAAUAGGAAUACAUUUUGUCCUGAUGCAAUCAAAUAUUUGAAGAUUGUUAUUAAUGCAAGCUAAGUCUGGGUAAGUUGAAUUAAUGCAUUAGUUGCUAUUUAUCUGCCAUUUGGUUCCAAAAUUUGAUUUCAACCAAUCUAAAUUAACUAAAUUGAGGACCUAAAUUUUGUGGCCCUUCUAGAUCUCUGGUGAAGAAAUGAAUCAAUUGUCUUUUCUAUUCCAUUUGACUUACAAGAGUUCGGAUCCUUUACUAUCUUCUAUGGUUCCAAGUUUCCCACUUUGACAGUGUUGGUAUCUGCGGUAAUCUUGUUUCUUAGGAUCACAUUUUUUAAAUGCAUAUCUGAUUAUUUUUUUCUUUUUUUGUUUCCUUCUCUAUUUUGCAGAUCAACAAUACCUCUUUUAAGCAUGAUGUACUCCCUACGAAGAGCCAGAGCCCUGAGCUCUUUGGUAAUAUUAUGAUUCAGUACUGUCAGUCUGAUGCUUUUGUAGAUAUUGUAUCCGGGUUUUUUAAUCUGACAUUGUACGCUCCCUCCAGAGUGCCUGAAAUUCUAUGAAUAUUAUAAUUUGACAAAUUAUAUGCUCUUUAUUUUCUGGUUAAAUUAUGUUGUCGGUCCCGGAACUUACCACGUAGUAUCAUCACUUAAUCUCCUGGACUUCAAUUUGUUAAACUUCAGUUUUAUUUCAGUUGAGACACUUCAUGAAGUGCUGUUCAAUUUUCUUAAAAUACCUUCGUCCCCAUACUGUGUGAUAUGGAGAUGUUGUCGGGAGUUGAAUCAGUUGCCGCGUCAUCGUAAUUACAAGAUGAUUUAACUAUGAUUUCACCUUUAUGAAAUGACGCGGAAGCUGUAGCAACAGCUUCUCUUCUUAAAGACAUGAUCAUCUGACGAAAUCAGGGAACUAAAGAGUGCCUGAUGGAGUGAUCCAAUUGAAAUAGCAAUUGAAGUUCCAUAACUUUAUUGCAA
rnacentral:lncRNA from 1 species